rnacentral:rRNA from 1 species
GAUUAACGCUAGCGGCAGGCAUAAUACAUGUAAGUUGAACGGCAGCACAGGUAGCAAUACUGGGUGGCGAGUGGCGCACGGGUGCGUAACACGUAUGCAACCUACCCUAUACAGGCGAAUAACCUUUAGAAAUGAGGGCUAAUACGCCGUAGUAUUACAGAUGGGCAUCUAUUUGUAAUUAAAGAUUUAUCGGUAUAGGAUGGGCAUGCGUCCCAUUAGUUAGUUGGUAAGGUAACGGCUUACCAAGACGAUGAUGGGUAGGGGAUCUGAGAGGACUUACCCCCACACUGGUACUGGGACACGGACCAGACUCCUACGGGAGGCAGCAGUAAGGAAUAUUGGGCAAUGGCCGCGAGGCUGACCCAGCCAUGCCGCGUGCAGGAAGACGGCCUUAUGGGUUGUAAACUGCUUUUAUACGGGAAUAAUAGAGUGUACGCGUACAUUUAUGCAAGUAUCGUAUGAAUAAGCAUCGGCUAACUCCGUG